AUUGAACGCUGGCGGCAUGCCUAACACAUGCAAGUCGAACGGGAGUAGCAAUACUCUAGUGGCGGACGGGUGAGGAAUACGUAGGAAUUUGCCCUUAAGUGGGGGAUAACCCGGGGAAACCCGGAUUAAUACCGCAUGACCUCGAAAGAGCAAAGUGGGGGAUCGCAAGACCUCACGCUUUUGGAGAAGCCUACGUCGGAUUAGCUAGUUGGUGAGGUAAUGGCUCA
rnacentral:rRNA from 1 species